rfam:Candidate division WOR_3 bacterium SM23_60 WORSMTZ_2518, whole genome shotgun sequence.
GGCGGCAUAGCCAAGUAGCUAAGGCGGCGGUCUGCAAAAUCGCUAUUCGCCGGUGCAAAUCCGGCUGCCGCCU